rnacentral:rRNA from 1 species
UACGGAGGGAGCUAGCGUUGUUCGGAAUUACUGGGCGUAAAGCGCACGCAGGUGGCUAAGUCAGUCGAUUGUGAAAGCCCUGGGCUUAACCUGGGAAUUGCAGUCGAUACUACUUAGCUCGAGUAUGGGAGAGGGCAGUGGAAUUCCCGGUGUAGCGGUGAAAUGCGUAGAUAUCGGGAGGAACAUCAGUGGCGAAGGCGGCUGCCUGGCCCAAUACUGACACUCAGGUGCGACAGCGUGGGGAGCAAAUAGG